rnacentral:rRNA from 1 species
UUGAACGCUGGCGGAAUGCUUUACACAUGCAAGUCGAGCGGCAGCGCGGGGCAACCUGGCGGCGAGCGGCGAACGGGUGAGUAACAUAUCGGAACGUACCCUAUCGUGGGGGAUAACACAUCGAAAGAUGUGCUAAUACCGCAUACGACCUGAGGGUGAAAGCGGGGGAUCGCAAGACCUCGCGCGACAGGAGCGGCCGAUAUCGGAUUAGCUAGUUGGUGAGGUAAAGGCUCACCAAGGCGACGAUCCGUAGCUGGUCUGAGAGGAUGAUCCGCCACACUGGGACUGAGACACGGCCCAGACUCCUACGGGAGGCAGCAGUGGGGAAUUUUGGACAAUGGGGGCAACCCUGAUCCAGCCAUUCCGCGUGAGUGAAGAAGGCCUUCGGGUUGUAAAGCUCUUUCAGCUGGAACGAAACGGUACGCGCUAACAUCGCGUGCUAAUGACGGUACCGGCAGAAGAAGCACCGGCUAACUACGU